UUAAGUCCGUACGAGCGCAACCCUUGUCCUUAGUUACCAGCACGUUAUGGUGGGCGACUCUAAGGAGACUGCCGGUGACAAACCGGAGGAAGGUGGGGAUGACGUCAAGUCAUCAUGGCCCUUACGGCCUGGGCUACACACGUGCUACAAUGGUCGGUACAAAGGGUUGCCAAGCCGCGAGGUGGAGCUAAUCCCAUAAAACCGAUCGUAGUCCGGAUCGCAGUCUGCAACUCGACUGCGUGAAGUCGGAAUCGCUAGUAAUCGUGAAUCAGAAUGUCACGGUGAAUACGUUCCCGGGCCUU
rnacentral:rRNA from 1 species